rnacentral:rRNA from 1 species
AGAGUUGAUCAUGGCUCAGGACGAACGCUGCGGCGUGCCUAACACAUGCAAGUCGAACGGGGCUGAUUCCUUCGGGGAUCAGCUAGUGGCGAACGGGUGAGUAACGCGUGAGAAACCUGCCUUUCAGUGGGGGACAACAGUUGGAAACGACUGCUAAUACCGCAUAAUGCAGCGAGGGGGCAUCCUCUUACUGCCAAAGCUUUAUGUGCUGAAAGAUGGUCUCGCGUCUGAUUAGCUAGUUGGUGGGGUAACGGCUCACCAAGGCGACGAUCAGUAGCCGGUCUGAGAGGAUGAACGGCCACAUUGGGACUGAGAUACGGCCCAGACUCCUACGGGAGGCAGCAGUGGGGAAUAUUGGGCAAUGGGGGAAACCCUGACCCAGCAACGCCGCGUGAAGGAAGAAGGCCUUCGGGUUGUAAACUUCUUUUAGCAGGGACGAARGACGUGACGGUACCUGCAGAAAAAACAACGGCUAACUACGUGCCAGCAGCCGCGGUAAUACGUAGGUUGCAAGCGUUGUCCGGAUUUACUGGGUGUAAAGGGCGUGUAGGCGGAGAUGCAAGUUGGGAGUGAAAUCCAUGGGCUCAACCCAUGAACUGCUUUCAAAACUGCAUCCCUUGAGUGUCGGAGAGGCAAGCGGAAUUCCUAGUGUAGCGGUGAAAUGCGUAGAUAUUAGGAGGAACACCAGUGGCGAAGGCGGCUUGCUGGACGAUAACUGACGCUGAGGCGCGAAAGCGUGGGGAGCUACAGGAUUAGAUACCCUGGUAGUCCACGCUGUAAAGGGCCCYCUAGGUGUGGGAGGACUGACCCCUUCCGUCCGCAGUUAACACAAUAAGUWUUCCACC